AACUAUUUAACACAUUAUGUGUUAAUUUUAACACAUUAUGUGUCAUUUCGUGCUGAUUUAGAGUUCAUAUAAAUAAAAGGGACAACACAAGAUGUGUUAAAACAACACAAAGUGUGUUGUCCUUAACUAGACACAAGAUGUGUUAAUUUAACACAUUCGUUUUAAGAGUGUAGGAUGAUCCAUCUGUCUACACUUCAAAAUCACAACUCAACCUUAAACAUCCCAUAUCUGUUAUGGUAAAACAAUGUGGCGGUUUUCCAGACAGGGCUUAUACUGUUCCCGGGCUAAAAUGCAUGUUUGAGCUACUGUAAUUAAGAAAACACCUUGUACUGACACAUCUCAACAUAUAUCAUUGCCAUUGUUUUGUUUCAAGAUGCACACCAGUCUUGUUUUGUAAGGUUUGUUUGUAAAAACUAAAAUGUCCUAAUAUAAGUGCCCAGUCCUGGUUUAAUCUAAACCAGGGAUGGGCAACUUCGGUCCUGGAGGGCCGGUGUCCUGCAGAGUUUAGCUCCAACCAUAAUUAAACACACCUGAAGCAGCCAAUUAAGGUGUUACUAGGCAUACUAGAAACUUUAACGCACGUGUGCUGAGGCAAGUUGGAGCUAAACUCUGCAGGACAUUGGCCCUCCAGGACCGAAGUUGCCCAUCCCUGAUCUAAACCAUUGGUGACCAAACCUGUGUCUUGAGAUCUACUGUCCUGCAGAGUUCAGCUCCAACCCCAAUCAAACACACCUGAACCUGCCAAUCAAGCAUUUCAGGGCAACCUUAAAAUUAUAGUCAGGUGUGUUUAAAGCUGGGUUAGAACUAAAAUAUGCAGGAGGGUAGAUCUCCAGGAACAGGGUUGGUCACCCCUGAUCUAAACAAAGGGUUUCCAAACUGUGUCCUGCAAAGUUUAGCUCUAACCCUAAUCAAACACACCUGAAGCAGCCAAUUAAGGUCUUACUAAGCAUACUAGAAACUUACUGGCAGGUGCUCUGAUGCAAGAGCUAAACUCUGCAGGACACCGGCCCUCCAGGACUGAGUUUGGGUACCCCUGACUAAGCCCUGCCUGGGAAACUGCACCAAUGUGUUGAACUGGCACCAUUGGACAUUACUGCUGCUGAGAAACAACCACUUUCUCAGCUCUACACAGGGUUGACAUUGGAUGCAUUCUUAUUAUAAAAUGCAUUCAUGUGCACUUUACCAAUACUGUACAUACAUCAACAGCUUCCAGCUAUACACUUGAGAUCAGCUCCUGAUGCCUCUCAUAAUGCUGUGUUAUAAUUAAUUGCAGGGUGAUCUUGCUGAAAGGAUAUUUUUAUAAACCUUUACAAUGUCACCAGAUGUUACAUGUUGUGGAUAGUUAUUUUUAUAAACCUUUACAAUGUCACCAGAUGUUACCUGUUGUGAAUAAUUAUUUUAUAAACCUUUACAAUCUCACCAGUUGUUACAUGUUGUGGAUAGUUAUUUUUAUAAACCUUUACAAUGUCACCAGAUGUUACAUGUUGUGAAUGGUUAUUUUUAUAAACCUUUACAAUGUCACCAGUUGUUACAUGUUGUGCAUAGUUAUUUUUAUAAACCUUUACAAUGUCACCAGAUGUUACCUGUUGUGAAAAGUUAUUUUUAUAAACCGUUACAAUGUCACCAGA